rnacentral:pre_miRNA from 1 species
AUGUUACUCCCUCCGGCCAGAAUUACUUGUCGAAAUAUUACAUGUAUCUAGACGCUUUUUGCACAUAGAUACAUUCAAAUUUGGGCAAAUUUGAGACAAGUAAUACCGGUCGGAGGGAGUAACAA